rnacentral:misc_RNA from 1 species
CACAGCUCUUGUCCAGACAAACCACA